GCUCGAGAAGGUAGAGGAGAUGGCGCAGGGGACACAGGCUAUGACAUGGGGGCUCCUGGGGCCCUUGAACAUGUGUCCUCUUCUCCCUCCUCCCAGGUGUAUG
ensembl:miRNA MIR877 microRNA 877